rnacentral:rRNA from 1 species
UACGGAGGGGGCUAGCGUUGUUCGGAAUUACUGGGCGUAAAGCGCACGUAGGCGGCUUUGUAAGUUAGAGGUGAAAGCCCAGGGCUCAACCCUGGAAUUGCCUUCAAGACUGCAUCGCUUGAACAUCGGAGAGGUAAGUGGAAUUCCGAGUGUAGAGGUGAAAUUCGUAGAUAUUCGGAAGAACACCAGUGGCGAAGGCGACUUACUGGACGAUUGUUGACGCUGAGGUGCGAAAGCGUGGGGAGCAAACAGG